GGGCCUGUAGCUCAGGUGGUAGAGCAGCUGACUCUUAAUCAGCGGGUCCGGGGUUCGAGUCCCCGCAGGCCCUCCA
rnacentral:tRNA from 2 species